rnacentral:rRNA from 1 species
CACGCCGUAAACGAUGCUAACUCGUUUUUGGAAUGUAAGUUUCAGAGANUAAGCGAAAGUGAUAAGUUAGCCACCUGGGGAGUACGAACGCAAGUUUGAAACUCAAAGGAAUUGACGGGGGCCCGCACAAGCGGUGGAUUAUGUGGUUUAAUUCGAUGAUACGCGAGGAACCUUACCAAGGCUUAAAUGGGAAAUGACAGGUUUAGAAAUAGACUUUUCUUCGGACAUUUUUCAAGGUGCUGCAUGGUUGUCGUCAGCUCGUGCCGUGAGGUGUUAGGUUAAGUCCUGCAACGAGCGCAACCCCUGUCACUAGUUGCCAUCAUUAAGUUGGGGACUCUAGUGAGACUGCCUACGCAGGUAGAGAGGAAGGUGGGGAUGACGUCAAAUCAUCACGGCCCUUACGCCUUGGGCCACACACGUAAUACAAUGGCCGGUACAGAGGGCAGCUACACUGCGAAGUGAUGCAAAUCUCGAAAGCCGGUCUCAGUUCGGAUUGGAGUCUGCAACUCGACUCUAUGAAGCUGGAAUCGCUAGUAAUCGCGCAUCAGCCAUGGCGCGGUGAAUACGUUCCCGGGCCUUGUACACACCGCCCGUCAAGCCAUGGAAGUCUGGGGUACCUGAAGUCGGUGACCGUAACAGGAGCUGCCUAGGGUAAAACAGGUAACUAGGGCU